GACGAACGCUGGCGGCGUGCUUAACACAUGCAAGUCGAGCGGAAAGGCCCUUUCGGGGGUACUCGAGCGGCGAACGGGUGAGUAACACGUGAGUAAUCUGCCCUUGGCUUUGGGAUAACUACCGGAAACGGUGGCUAAUACCGGAUAUGACCAUGCUCGGCAUCGGGUGUGGUGGAAAGUUUUUUCGGCCAGGGAUGUGCUCGCGGCCUAUCAGCUUGUUGGUGGGGUAAUGGCCUACCAAGGCUUCGACGGGUAGCCGGCCUGAGAGGGUGACCGGCCACACUGGGACUGAGACACGGCCCAGACUCCUACGGGAGGCAGCAGUGGGGAAUAUUGGACAAUGGGCGGAAGCCUGAUCCAGCAACGCCGCGUGAGGGAU
rnacentral:rRNA from 1 species